rnacentral:tRNA from 1 species
AGGGAUGUGGCGCAGCUUGGUAGCGCGUUUGUUUUGGGUACAAAAUGUCACGGGUUCCAAUCCUGUCAUCCCUA